rnacentral:ribozyme from 1 species
UUCAUUUUCAACCCAAGCACAAACGAGAAAGAUGGUCGUCCUCCGCAACCUUUUCU